rnacentral:misc_RNA from 1 species
CUGGCAUCUGCAUAAAUUUUAAUGUAAUUCCAUACAAUGGACAUGAUUUUACUUUAAAUAUAUAGAAUUCCUCAUCAUUGAUAGAUGUUUUGAUUGAUGAAAAUUUAUUUUGAAUUGAAAAAUUUAUCAAAUCUGUUUAAUUUAAAAUUUUAUUUUGAUUUAUUUAAAAAUAUAAUUCCAUUUAUUUUAUAUUUUAUAAUUUUAAUUAAUUCAAUUUAUUUAUUUUUGAAAAACAAGGGUUCAACCAACACACCGUGUUUCUCCAUAGCGUGGUUCACCCAUCAUUUCUUCUCUACUCUCCUUUCUCAUUAUCGCAGAGAUAAACUCCCCCCUUUCUUCGAUUCUUCCUAACCUCCUCUGUCCUUGACUUUUUUAUUUUCUCUUUGUCUUGUUCUAUCGCUCUCUAUUUUGCUUUUAUUCAUCGAUUUCAUUAUUCCAUUUGUGGCUGCUAUCGAAGUUUGUUUCAAGUCUGUGAUAUUAGCUCGUGGAAUUUCUGCAAUUUUUCUCUGGGUGAUUCUGGAAAAGGGCUUAGCAGAGAUCGUGGGAUUGCAAGGUAUUUUUACUUUCAUGUAUUUUAGGGGUUUUUUUUUUUUUCAGGGUUGCUUUUAGAUUUAUUUUUAGGUUUGGUUGAUGAAGGAAUUUAGGGAAUUUUGGGGGUUUUGGUGGAGUGAAUUUACAGUUGGUGAGAGUGCUUUUGUGUGAGAUUGUGAUUUUAUUUCUGUGAAUAGUAAAAUUAGAAAUGGAAUACAAGUGCCCAUCUUGCAGCCUUAA